AACGCGAAGAACCUUACCCAGGCUUGACAUCCUUGGAAUUUCUCCGAAAGGAGAAAGUGCUUUAUUGAGCCAAGUGACAGGUGAUGCAUGGCCGUCGUCAGCUCGUGUCGUGAGAUGUUUGGUUAAGUCCAUCAACGAGCGCAACCCUUGUGAUUAGUUGAAUUUUUCUAAUCAGACUGCCCUGGUAACAGGGAGGAAGGAGGGGAUGAUGUCAGGUCAGUAUUUCCCUUACGUCUGGGGCUACAAACACGCUACAAUGGCCGGUACAAAGGGCAGCCAAGUCGCAAGACGGAGCAAAUCCCAUCAAAGCCGGUCUCAGUUCGGAUAGCAGGCUGAAACUCGCCUGCUUGAAGUCGGAAUCGCUAGUAACGGCAGGUCAGCUAUACUGCCGUGAAUACGUUCCCGGGCCUUGUA
rnacentral:rRNA from 1 species